UCCCUCGUGGUCCAGUGGUCAGGAUAUCGCCAUCUUUUGUAGGCGAAGGCCGAGGUUCGAUUCCUUGCGAGGGGA